UCGGGACGAGUUCAGCCUUUUCCGUAACUUCGAAGUCAUCGGUCCACCUCCGACGCGUGGCCGAUACGCUCACAUAUAGCUCUCCACAUAAGCGCUGCGCUUCUCCUUCCUCAGUUAGUUCUGAGAUCGGAUUAGGGACUAGGAAUUCGAGCGUCCCCGAUGGCAGAAGCAGCCGCGCCGGAAACGAGCUUGGCCGAGAAGAGGAGGAAGAAGGAUACGGGAGGAGGUGGUCUCCUCCUCGGGCGGUUUGAUGUAGGCAGGCUCCUCGGUGCUGGUUCCUUCGCCAAGGUCUACGUCGCUCGCGACGUGCGCACCGAUGAGCUCGUGGCCAUCAAGGCGCUUGACAAGGAGAAGAUCGUCAAGGGUGGGUUCGCCGCGCACAUCAAGCGCGAGAUCGCCAUCCUCCGCCGUGUACGUCAUCCCUACAUCGUGCAGCUCUUCGAGGUCAUGGCGACCAAGACCAAGAUCUAUUUCGUCAUGGAGUACGUCCGCGGCGGCGAGCUUUUCGGCCGUGUCGCGAAGGGGCGCCUCCUCGAGGACACCGCCCGCCGCUAUUUUCAGCAGCUGAUCUCCGCGGUGUCCUUCUGCCAUGCCAGAGGCGUCUUCCACCGGGACCUCAAGCCAGAGAACCUCCUCAUCGACGAUAAUGGCGACCUCAAAGUGUCUGACUUCGGCCUCUCGGCCGUGGCUGGGCAGAUGCACGUCGACGGGCUCUUGCAUACCUUCUGCGGCACGCCAGCGUACGUCGCUCCGGAGAUUCUCGCCCGCAGGGGCUACGAUGGCGCUAAGGUUGACGUCUGGUCCUGUGGCGUCAUCCUCUUCGUGCUCAUGGCUGGUUACCUCCCCUUCCACGACAGCAGCAUUGUGGCCAUGUACCGGAAGAUCUACAAAGGAUCCUUCCGGUGCCCACGCUGGUUAUCGCAAGACCUCAACCAUCUCCUCCAUCGCCUCCUUGAUGUGAAUCCCCAAUCCCGAGCCACCAUUCCGGAGAUCAUGGAGAAUCCCUGGUUCAGAAAAGGGUUCCGGCACAUCCGAUUUUAUAUCGAAGACAACCAAUUGCAUAGCUUUAACGAUUCAGAUUCAGAAGAUGAACAAUUGAAGAGUAACGAACCCAAGCCGGAUGAGACGGACGAAUCAGGGUCGGAAUCGGAUAGCUCCGUGGCUUCCUGUCCGGCAUCAUUCUACGGCGAUUCCUACGAACAUCAUCCAUCGUUGAGGCCACCAAGCCUUACUGCAUUUGAUAUCAUAUCUUUCUCCAGUGGCUUUGACCUCUCAGGUUUGUUUGAAGAAAAAGCGGAGAUGACCAGGUUCCUGUCCAAGGAGCCUGUCCCAGCAAUAGUAUCUAAAUUGGAAGACAUUGCAAAGGUAGUAAGCUUGAAGGUCAGGAAGAAGGGAAGCCAGAUCAAUUUAGAAGGAACUAGAGAGAGUGAGAAGGGCCCCUUGACGAUCGGCGUGGAUAUAUAUGAGCUUACGCCAUGGAUUGUUGUAGUGGAGGUGAAGAAGAAGGCAGGCGAUGGAGAGGAGUAUGAAGAGUUCUGCAAUAAGGUGCUCAAGCCAGGGUUACAAGAUAUCGUCUAUGAGUCCUCCCACAUUGCACGUAAUACCGAAUAGAAAAAAAGGUAAGAUGGAAAAAUGUUCGAACAUUUUCAAAUGACAAAGGAUAAAACUAUUGAAGAAAUAAGAUUUAUUCAGCUGAAUCAAAAUUGUUGGCACUUAAGCGGGUCAAAAUGGUGAUGAUCAUGAUUCAUGAUGAGGGCUUUACCCGGCUAAAAUCAGAGAAUAAACAGUUUACAUGUGUUGAGCAUUUCAACUCGAGCCUUGGCUGGUUGGUUGUCAAAUGAGACACUGGAGUAGAGGGAUUUUUCUUCAGAUGCUCACUAGUUAUUUGGUGGACAAACCAUUUCUUCUCAUCGACACUCCAAAUGCUGAUAACUUUUGCUGGACUUUAUUUUGAUCUGGAUUUUCCUUUUUUUCCUGGUGUUUAUACAUUCUUACAGUGGACCAUGCAGAUCGCCAUGAAAGACAACUAUCACACCAGCUUCAGCAUUGUUCAUCAAACAUUAUCUGAAGUCGCUCUCUAUUGGAUCAUUGCCUAUUCUGUUUCUUUCCCCCAUUUGCCACGCCUGCUGUGAAUAUGAGUUCAUACGUCGACCACUAACUAAUGAGCCAGUUUGUGUAGCAUGGCUAUGUAUAUAUAAUAUAUACACAUUAGAAUGAGUUAGACUGUGUAUAGCUAUAUUUUCCUUGUAAAUUAACAUUAUAUUUAAUGUUCGGGUAAUCUGAAAAGUUAGGAACUUCUGUUCAGAUUGAUUCUGUGUGUGGGUUCAGUUGUAAAGCAAAUGGCAGCCAAACAAAUCUGAUAUUGUUGGCUGCUGCAAGAUCUAUAGCUUUACUCUUCUUCAUUCGUUGUCAAGUCAUUCAAGUGUUUGAUUCUAC